AUGGCAGCAGGGCCCGGCGCUGCCUCCGGGAGCGGGCGGCAGCUCUGCGGUCACGAGCGGGGCCUCGCCGCUGCCUCCGGGUCCCCGCUGGGCCGGGCAGCCCGGGGCCGGCCGUGCGAGCAGCCUGGGGCCCCGCGGGGAGCGGUGCGGCCUCUGCCCCGCGUACACUCCCUUCCACUGCAAACAAACAGCUUCUGUCUCGGGGGAGGCAAGGCGAGGCCACUUACCUCGUGGCCCAUUUUUCUCUGCGCCCUGCUAAGUCUCUGCCUCAUCUCUUUCCUUCUCACGUGCUGGCAGUCGGGAGGCUUUCUGCGCCGCAGCGCUGUGCCUGGCAGGAAUCCCACUGUCGCUGCAGAGAAACCCCAGACCGUCCUACUUGUUCUGGCUUCCCCGUUUGUACAGAUGGUGCGGGACAAAUGGAGGCGGAGAAGCCGCUCUGAUCAAUUAAAAGGAAACGCAGUCCUGUCUUGUGGCGCGUCACCUUCUUCUGAGGCGUCAAACUGCAGCUCGAGCUGCGCCGGCGGCUGGCUCCCUCCCCACGCUGUCAGCCACCUCCAGUGCCGGUAAUCCACCUGGACGGCGGGAUUAGGGCAGCACGGGAGGAGGCGUCCGCAGGGCAGCGCAGAGGCUUCCUGCCGUGCCUCCCCCGCCCUGUUUCUCCUCAGCCUCCCGGCUCCGUCGCCGCAGGAAUCGCGUCGGCUCUGCUGGUUCCUCGCGGUCCUUCCUGCAGCUGGACGGCAGCUGCCCGGCUCUGCCCCCUUCCCCCGCUGCUGCUCCGGGCUGCUUGCACGCGCGGGUGGCGUGCGGAGCGGGGGGAAGUCUCUGGGGGGGGCUGGGUGCGGGAGGGAAGCAGAUGCUGUGCUGGGUGGGAGCCUGUCCUCAGCCUGGGCGGUGGGGGGGUGCUGGCAGCGCUCUGCUGGUGCUGCCGGCUGCUUUGGGGCUCCCCAGAGCAGCACUGGCGUCCUCAGUGCCAGGAGGAACCCCCGAGCUGCUCCCGUCUGCAGUGAGCUCGUUUUCCUCCCCCCAUGCAUCACGAAACGUGGCGCUGCCAGGAAGGAGCAGGCUGGGGCGAGGGGCCCGAGGAUGCCCCCGGCACCAUCCACCGCGAGGCUCCGCGCUCGGUGCCGUCCUCCCGAGGGGGAUUUUGGGUUCCUGCUGCUGCUCAAACCCUUCUGGCAUGGGGGAAAAGCCGGCCGUGCAGUGUGACCGUCCCCCCUUGCUCCGUUCCCCUUUCCCUUCGCCCCCCGCCUGCCCUCCUGCAGCCUGG
rnacentral:lncRNA from 1 species